AUGACGGUUGCUAGGUAUACAAAUUACAUUACUUGUUUGUUUGUGUAUCUUUCUUUUAUAUUCAUCAAUGUUGAUUUAUUGAUAUCUUUCAAUAUUCUGAAGGCACAAGAGCUGUAUAAGAUGCUUGAAGAGAAUAGGAGAGUGGAAGAGUCUCAGAGAAGAGAAGUUCUAGAGCUCCAGCGGAAGGAGGAGGAGAAGCAAAGGGAAUUACAGAUGAUUCGGAGACAGAAAGAAGAGUCUGAGAGUCAGAGAAAGAAACUCGAGGAGGAAUAA